UAGUACCGGCGAGUGAAGCGGGAUGAGCUCAAAUUUAAAAUCUGGCGGCCUCAGGUCGUCCGAGUUGUAGUCUAGAGAAUCGUUUUCCGCGUUGGCCUGUGUACAAGUCCCUUGGAACAGGGCGUCAUAGAGGGUGAGAAUCCCGUCCUUGACACAGAUUACCAAUGCUUUGUGAUGCGAUCUCGAAGAGUCGAGUUGUUUGGGAAUGCAGCUCAAAAUGGGUGGUAAAUUCCAUCUAAAGCUAAAUAUUGGCGAGAGACCGAUAGCGAACAAGUACCGUGAGGGAAAGAUGAAAAGCACUUUGGAAAGAGAGUUAAACAGUACGUGAAAUUGUUAAAAGGGAAACGAUUGAAGUCAGUCAUGCUUUCCGAGACUCAGCCGAUUCUGUCGGUGUACUUCUCGGUUGGCAGGCCAGCAUCAGUUUCGAUCUGUGGAAAAGGUUGGAGGGAACGUGGCAUCUCCGGAUGUGUUAUAGCCCUUCUUCGAAUACAUAGAGCGGGACUGAGGAACGCAGCGCGCCUUUUAUUAGGUUGGCCCUCGGGUACAUACGCGCUUAGGAUGCUGGCAUAAUGGCUUUAAACGACCCUCUAAAAA
rnacentral:rRNA from 1 species